CUCCAGACUCCUACGGGAGGCAGCAGUGGGGAAUAUUGCACAAUGGGGGAAACCCUGAUGCAGCGACGCCGCGUGGGCGACGAAGCGCUCCGGCGCGUAAAGCCCUGUCAGCAGGGAAGAACAAAGACAGUACCUGACCAAGAAGCCCCGGCUAACUACGUGCCAGCAGCCGCGGUAAUACGUAGGGGGCAAGCGUUAUCCGGAUUUACUGGGUGUAAAGGGAGCGUAGACGGAAAGGCAAGUCAGAAGUGAAAACCCAAGGCUCAACCAUGGGACUGCUUUUGAAACUGUCAAACUAGAGUACGGGAGAGGUAAGAGGAAUUCCUAGUGUAGCGGUGAAAUGCGUAGAUAUUAGGAGGAACACCAGUGGCGAAGGCGGCUUACUGGAUCGAAACUGACGUUGAGGCUCGAAAGCGUGGGGAGCAAACAGGAUUAGAUACCCUGGUAU
rnacentral:rRNA from 1 species